ACAUCAUCCGCUGCCGUAAUAGUAGCUUGAAGCUGACCAAAAUCAUUGUUUCCGAACCCUCCGUUCAUAGCUAUUCAUAAAAAAAACACAAUCGCAAACAGUCAAACAGAGCAGAGGCACUGGCUUCAAUCAAUCAGAAAGUUAAUCUCAUCGGCGUUAUCACUGAGAUCAGCAUAUCCAAACAGAGCAGAGGUACUGGGCAAACUGUUGGUGUGAUUAGAGCUGGUCAUAUUGGAUCUGCUUAUGCUAGGAUGAUGAUCGUGACUAGCCGUGGUUACAAGGAAGAUGUGAGGAUGAGUAACAUUGGAUUAGUGAUCAGACCUAUCUUCAGGUGCGGUCGAUU